UGGCUCGCAACGGCGCUCGUGGUGGCUCGUGAAGGCGUGACGAUCUGGUGCGGCGAGGUCGCAGUGACUAUGCGAGGACGUUGGUUGUCCUGAUUCGCGACGCAAAGGGGAGGCUCCCUUUCUCUUUUCCUUUGUUGCUUUGCCGCAUAGUGAGAGAAGGCGCGACAGGCGGCGAUCGUGGUGGCUCGUGGAGGCGCGACGAUCACGGAGCGAUGGUGCGGUGAGGUCAUAGUGAUUGUGCGAGGACGUUGGUCGUCCUGAUUCGCCGCGUAAAGGGGAGGCUCCCUUUCUCUUUUCCUUUGCUACUUCGCCUCGGUGAGAGAAGACGACGAAGACAUGUCGCGAGUGACCUCCAG
rnacentral:lncRNA from 1 species